UUGAGAGCCCUAGGAGAUGACUAGGUUGAUAGGCGCUAGGUGUAAGCAUCGUAAGGUGUUGAGCCGAGGCGUACUAAUUGCUCGAAUUCUAUUAGGAA
rnacentral:rRNA from 1 species